GUAGGUGGCAAGCGUUGUCCGGAAUUAUUGGGCGUAAAGCGCGCACAGGCGGUUCUUUAAGUCUGAUGUGAAAGCCCACGGCUCAACCGUGGAGGGUCAUUGGAAACUGGAGAACUUGAGUACAGAAGAGGAAAGCGGAAUUCCACGUGUAGCGGUGAAAUGCGUAGAGAUGUGGAGGAACACCAGUGGCGAAGGCGGCUUUCUGGUCUGUAACUGACGCUGAGGCGCGAAAGCGUGGGGAGCAAACAGGGAUUAGAUACCCUGGUAGUCCACGCCGUAAACGAUGAGUGCUAAGUGUUAGGGGGUUUCCGCCCCCUUAGUGCUGCAGCUAACGCAUUAAGCACUCCGCCUGGGGAUACGGCCGCAAGGCUG
rnacentral:rRNA from 1 species